rnacentral:rRNA from 1 species
GCAUAUACAUGCAGUCGAGCGAACAGAUAAGGAGCUUGCUCCUUUGACGUUAGCGGCGGACGGGUGAGUAACACGUGGAUAACCUACCUAUAAGACUGGGAUAACUUCGGGAAACCGGAGCUAAUACCGGAUAAGAUUUUGAACCGCAUGGUUCAAUAGUGAAAGACGGCCUUGCUGUCACUUAUAGAUGGAUCCGCGCCGUAUUAGCUAGUUGGUAAGGUAACGGCUUACCAAGGCAACGAUACGUAGCCGACCUGAGAGGGUGAUCGGCCACACUGGAACUGAGACACGGUCCAGACUCCUACGGGAGGCAGCAGUAGGGAAUCUUCCGCAAUGGGCGAAAGCCUGACGGAGCAACGCCGCGUGAGUGAUGAAGGUCUUCGGAUCGUAAAACUCUGUUAUCAGGGAAGAACAAACGUGUAAGUAACUGUGCACGUCUUGACGGUACCUGAUCAGAAAGCCACGGCUAACUACGUGCCAGCAGCCGCGGUAAUACGUAGGUGGCAAGCGUUAUCCGGAAUUAUUGGGCGUAAAGCGCGCGUAGGCGGUUUUUUAAGUCUGAUGUGAAAGCCCACGGCUCAACCGUGGAGGGUCAUUGGAAACUGGAAAACUUGAGUGCAGAAGAGGAAAGUGGAAUUCCAUGUGUAGCGGUGAAAUGCGCAGAGAUAUGGAGGAACACCAGUGGCGAAGGCGACUUUCUGGUCUGUAACUGACGCUGAUGUGCGAAAGCGUGUGGAUCAA